rnacentral:rRNA from 1 species
UUAUCCUACGGGACGCAGCAGUGGGGGAUAUUGCACAAUGGGCGAAAGCCUGGUGCAGCGACGCCGCGUGAGGGAAGACGGUCUUCGGAUUGUAAACCUCUGUCUUUGGGGAAGAAUAGAGACGGUACCCAAAGAGGAAGCUCCGGCUAACUACGUGCCAGCAGCCGCGGUAAUACGUAGGGAGCGAGCGUUGUCCGGAAUUACUGGGUGUAAAGGGAGCGUAGGCGGGCUUGUAAGUUGAAUGUCUAAUCCACCGGCUCAACCGGUGAUCGCGUUCAAAACUGCAGGUCUUGAGUGAAGUAGGG